rnacentral:rRNA from 1 species
GGGGAAUAUUGCACAAUGGGCGAAAGCCUGAUGCAGCAACGCCGCGUGGAGGAUGAAGGCCUUCGGGUUGUAAACUCUUGUCUUCUGGGACGAUAAUGACGGUACCAGAGGAGGAAGCCACGGCUAACUACGUGCCAGCAGCCGCGGUAAUACGUAGGUGGCGAGCGUUGUCCGGAUUCACUGGGCGUAAAGGAUGCGUAGGCGGAUAUUUAAGUGAGAUGUGAAAUACCCGGGCUUAACUUGGGUGCUGCAUUUCAAACUGGAUAUCUAGAGUGCGGGAGAGGAAAGUGGAAUUCCUAGUGUAGCGGUGAAAUGCGUAGAGAUUAGGAAGAACACCAGUGGCGAAGGCGACUUUCUGGACCGUAACUGACGCUGAGGCAGGAAAGCGUGGGGAGCAAAC